AGCUCAACCACAGUUUUGAGAAGUUUUCCCCUGACUUUAAGAAGAAUUGUACUUGACACCUGUGCCACAUUUCCGAACCAGUGAAUAUGGCUCCAUGAUUGCGGCUCAGUAGAGUGGAAAACUCAUGCAGCGAGGACAGAAGGGAAUUUUCCACAGAGUCCACUGCCUUUUAGAUCAAUACUUGUCUCCAGAGAUCUGUUGGCCUCCAACAAGAUGGGAAUCACUGAUCUUAUUGAGGAGGUGAGAGCAAAUGUGCACAGUUUGUGAAGAAAGUCUGAGCUGGACAGAUGAGGGCGAGUCUGGAUUUCUGUAAAGAGCAUUCCUAAUACCCUGCCAGAGGUCCUGCUAGUGGAGUGGAAAGCUGAAAUGUCCUACUGAGGUAAUUAAUGCUGUGUUAAUGCUAUGGUUGAGGAGCUUGACAAUCAGGGACAGCCGCCACCAGAUUGAGAGGAGCCAGUUGAGUUGGUUCAGGCACCUUGUUGUCUCCCAGUAGAGCUGUAUUAGGCACAUUCGUUUGGACAGAGACCCCGGUGCAGACCCAGGACCUGCUGGAGAGAUUAUAUCUCACAGUUGGUUUGGGAAUUAAGCUGGAAUCCGUGGCCAGGGACCGAAGUCUGGGCUUUCUCAGCCACUAUGACCCUCACCAGAAAAGUGGAAGAAAAACGUAUGAAUGAAUUUUCAUGAUUGUAUUGCCCUGGACAGAUGGCAUGUUCAUGUUGGCAGCCAUAGUGCUUCACUUCCAGAUUUGGCUGGAAAGCCUCAAAUACCCGCUCGGAGGCUGACACGAGCAUUUUUUUUGCCAGCUGUAAGGUGGUAAUUACAGUUACCCCACAUGACAUAAGUUCCAAAUCUUACAGCUGAAGAUUAGAGCCAGGUGUGCGAACUAAACUCUGGGAAUUUAUUGGACCCGUGAUGGUACAAAGCAUACGAUAUCAGAUCGUUCCACUAAUGUGAACGCUAACCAUCUGGAAACCGUAGCAGUGGAACAAACAGCUCAUUAAUUGGGAAUGAUUAUUUCAGGUGCAUCAUUUCAGGAUUUUAAUUUAGCUCCUGUCCAUUCGUCAGAGUAGGAAGAACAUGUCUGUCGCUCUUCUUUAUGGAGCUUGUUAAGCAUGACAGGAGGACCUCAGGGGCAACACCGUGCUUUUCCACCUCAGCGCAUCUAGGCCAGGACACUCAAACCGCAUCACAUUUACAUUUGACAGCUCGUCCUCAUCAGAAGUGUCCACCAUGACGCCCAGAGGGUGGACAACCAUCUCAGAGUCAAAAGUGCAUAGGUAACUACCAUUUUAAAGUCCCCAGAAGAAGACGUGAUCAAGCUAAUGUUCAGCUCUGCAUGGCGAAAUGGGACACAAAUUGUAUAAGAAUGCCAAAUGGUUUUUGGGUUGUUUUUUUUUCUCUUUUUUUAUUCGACCCAGGUGUUCUGGAGAAACUGUUCCCAUGGUAGAGUGUCGAGUAUGUUCAAUGUACAGAUGCGGAUUUGGAGAACGGUGUCCAGGGAACACUGUCAGUCGUGUACUUUCUGCGAAUGAAGAUGAAUUGAGUACUCCGACCUUAGUGGUGAAGAAGGAACUGCAGAAAAACGUCUUUCUGACGGGUACGACACGCUGAAACAGGAGACUCCUUCCAUAAAUACUAAAACAAGUCUUCUCACAUCACAAGAAAGCUUCUCCAUAUCAACGAUGACGUGUUUUUCUUUGUUAAAUAACAACACUUGUUUAAAAUCCAUUUUUUUUAGUGCUUGGGUUAUGAUGGAGCUGUCGUUACUGUUAUCAGAAAUGAAUCUGCACCCAGCCCUGCUUAUCAAUACCCAUCUUUGCAGGUGGUGCUUGUGUAGUUUACAAGACUUCAUCCAUCACCCUGAUGAGGCCUCGUUAACUCGAAUACUUCAGUCAACGCACAGAUUAUGCACAGCUUGAUGCACGUCCAUUUGACUGAAAAGCAUAUCUCUGGGCUAACUCUUCAUCCUGAACAGAAAGAAGAAGAUUCCCAAGCGUUAACGUAAGCAGCUUCAAGCUUUUGCCUAUUUCAGGAAUGUCUGCCAGGGAUCCCAUCCUGUCAGGCCAAAUAGCUCGGAACAUGUCACCUGUCACUCCGCAGUGCGACGCCACUGAUUCAGCACGAUGCUCAGCUUUCAAGGACGCCACCCUGCCAAAUCUGUUCGCGCUCACCUUGCACAGUAUGAGCAUCAUCAGUCUGAAUACAUCUGCUCCGCUCCUGACGUUUAUUUAAUCCAACAGAUCGCGUUUGCUAAUCCCAGGAAGGUGUUUGGAAUCCGUCCAGGUAACUCUGGGCAUUCGCUUCACUUCUUUACUCCACAGCUGGCAGAUCUGAUCCAAAACUACAACGUGAAAGGUCAGAGCUCAUUGUUUUGAAGAUGAUUUGCGUCGGGACGGGCCGUAAGAGCCGGGGCGACGACGGCAAUCAUCGUUUCGGACAUUUUUGACAUCUUUCUUCAAUUUAAAGAAAAGAGAAGGAUUUGUGGGGGUGGGUGAAAGUGCGUGACAUUUUCCCUGCAUACUAUUAAAAAAACAAAAAAAAACAUCCCAAGUCAUCACAAUAUAGACGGCCUGGUAUAUUGUUCAUGCUUAUUCAAUUAUAACAGACAUUUCUGUGGCUGUGGAACUAUUUUUUUUUUUUUUUCAUGGUAUCACUAUGACCUCUAGAAGGUACAGUCUUUACAUGUCUAAAUGCAGAUUAAUGGGCUGAGGAGUCAGAUGACCCAAAGAUGAGUCAGAAAUCCCAUGGAGAUUGACGGGCCUGCUGGGUUUUAGCACUAUUGGUCUAUUUCAGCACUGCUCAUUCCAAUGCAGAUGGGACAUUUUUGUAAACGAUGAUGUUCUUAGUGCUUGAGAGCAUAUAACAUUGAGUCAUAGUACAUAAUCUGAUCUAAAUUCCGCCAAAUCUAAAGUGCACCUAUUACGGUUUUUCAAAUAUGACCUUUCAUGUAGUGUGUUAUAUAUGUAGCUGUUUGCUAAUGUAAAAUCAUCUGCAAAGAUUCAAAAAUCAAAGCGCACAACAAACAAGAGUUAUCGGCUCCUAAAAGAAGGAAACGAUUCUGAACAGCUGAAUCGAGUCGUUAGUGAUUCCAGACUUUACUUCCUGUACAAACCUAAGUAGGUUUGUAACAAAAAGCCCCGCCUCUGGUCUUCAUCGGCUGCUCGCUGACAGCGGUAGACCAAUCAUGACAGACUGGGACAUCUGACCAAUCAGAGUAUGCUCUCUGGAAGGAGGAGUUUAGAAUGAAUCCUUUAGAAUGGAUCAUUGAACGAGUCGUUUGUGACACUGGGGGGAAAAAAGGUAACGCUGCAGUUUAAAUUAUGAGCAUGUUAUAAUGUUUUUUUUUUAUCUCGGAUGUGGGUAAAUCUAUUGUACGAGACCUUUAAAACAAAAUUAGGCACGUUUCAAAUCCAUAAUAGGUGCGCUUUAAAUUCCAGCAUUUUCACAUGUUCACAGAAUAAAGUUUUAUGGAUAUAUUCCGUAUACAUAUGUGAUAAUCAAAGAUUUACACUGAAGUUACACUGCAGAACGCCAUGGCAAGCAUGCUGUAUGUUACUGAGUUUACAUGAUAAACCUAAGAAUGACCAAGAUUUACCAUAAAGCCAGAACAUAAAUAUUGAUUAUACUUAGUACAACUGCAGAAUUUCUUCCUUAAGUACGUUUGAAGAAAUCCAAUUAAAAAACAAAAACGAAACAAAAGGUCAGAUGCAUGGGGCCAGUGUCUGAUGACCACUUCAACAACGUAGACGUCCGCUCCGUCAAAUCCAGGACCGAAUUAUUUUAUUUUAUUUUUUUUUUAUUGUUUUGUGACGUGACUAGUAGCAUUAUUUCAAAACGUGGCGUUUCUGCCUGUAGCC